rnacentral:rRNA from 1 species
UACGUAGGGGGCGAGCGUUGUCCGGAAUUACUGGGCGUAAAGGGCGUGUAGGCGGCUUAUCAAGUCAGAUGUGAAAAAUCAGGGCUCAACUCUGAUCUUGCAUCUGAAACUGGUAAGCUUGAGUGCAGGAGAGGAAAGUGGAAUUCCCAGUGUAGCGGUGAAAUGCGUAGAUAUUGGGAGGAACACCAGUGGCGAAGGCGACUUUCUGGACUGUAACUGACGCUGAGGCGCGAAAGCUAGGGGAGCAAACAGG